AGAGUUUGAUCCUGGCCUCAGAACGAACGCUGGCGGCAUGCCUAACACAUGCAAGUCGAACGAACUCUUCGGAGUUAGUGGCGCACGGGUGCGUAACGCGUGGGAAUCUGCCCUUGGGUACGGAAUAACUCAGAGAAAUUUGUGCUAAUACCGUAUAAUGACUUCGGUCCAAAGAUUUAUCGCCCAAGGAUGAGCCCGCGUAAGAUUAGCUAGUUGGUGGGGUAAAAGCCUACCAAGGCGACGAUCUUUAGCUGGUCUGAGAGGAUGAUCAGCCACACUGGGACUGAGACACGGCCCAGACUCCUACGGGAGGCAGCAGUGGGGAAUAUUGGACAAUGGGCGAAAGCCUGAUCCAGCAAUGCCGCGUGAGUGAUGAAGGCCUUAGGGUUGUAAAGCUCUUUUACCCGGGAUGAUAAUGACAGUACCGGGAGAAUAAGCUCCGGCUAACUCCGUG
rnacentral:rRNA from 1 species